rnacentral:rRNA from 1 species
UACAGAGGUCUCAAGCGUUGUUCGGAUUCAUUGGGCGUAAAGGGUGCGUAGGCGGCGCGGUAAGUCGGGUGUGAAAUCUUGGAGCUUAACUCCGAAACUGCAUUCGAUACUGCCGUGCUUGAGGACUGGAGAGGAGACUGGAAUUUACGGUGUAGCGGUGAAAUGCGUAGAUAUCGUAAGGAAGACCAGUGGCGAAGGCGGCAUCCUGGACCAACAUUGACGCUGAGGAGCGAAAGCCAGGGGAGCAAACGGG